UACAGAGGGUGCAAGCGUUGUUCGGAAUUAUUGGGCGUAAAGCGCGUGUAGGCGGCUUUGCAAGUCGGGUGUGAAAUCCCUGGGCUCAACCCCGAGGAACUGCAUCCGAAACUAUCAGUCUGGAGUGGUGGAGAGGAAAGCAGAAUUCCUGGUGUAGGAGGUGAAAUUCGUAGAUAUCAGGAGGAACACCGGUGGCGAAGGCGGCUUUCUCGGACGACUAACUGACGCUGAGACGCGAAAGCGUGGGGAGCAAACAGG
rnacentral:rRNA from 1 species